rnacentral:rRNA from 1 species
CCUACGGGAGGCUGCAGUGGGGAAUAUUGGACAAUGGGCGAAAGCCUGAUCCAGCCAUGCCGCGUGUGUGAAGAAGGCCUUCGGGUUGUAAAGCACUUUCAGUGGGGAAGAAAGCCUUGGGGCUAAUACCCUCGAGGAAGGACAUCACCCACAGAAGAAGCACCGGCUAACUCCGUGCCAGCAGCCGCGGUAAUACAGAGGGUGCGAGCGUUAAUCGGAAUUACUGGGCGUAAAGCGCGCGUAGGCGGUCUGAUAAGCCGGUUGUGAAAGCCCCGGGCUCAACCUGGGAACGGCAUCCGGAACUGUCAGGCUAGAGUGCAGGAGAGGAAGGUAGAAUUCCCGGUGUAGCGGUGAAAUGCGUAGAGAUCGGGAGGAAUACCAGUGGCGAAGGCGGCCUUCUGGACUGACACUGACGCUGAGGUGCGAAAGCGUGGGUAGCAAACAGGAUUAGAUACCCGAGUAGUC